CCCAACUUUGAAUCCUACCAUAACCCAGAAUGAGUUGGUCGAGUAUAGCAACAUGGGAUUUUGCAUAUGAGAGGUAACAGGUUCGAAUUCCCACUCAUAUGCUUGGGGAGAAAGGUCAAAUCACAUGUUUAAAUUUCUAUUCAUUGUCCUUACUUUCUUGGAUCCCUGUUUGUGAAGAAGCAUCAGGGUCUUCCUUUCUUUAUUUCUUUCGCUGAUCGAAUAAAAUUUCCCCAUUUGAAACCCCACAAGAGUGCAAUUGACAAAUAGCCACACAGAAAGAUAGGGUUUUGAGAUAUUGCGAACGAUGUUGAGACUGUUGGAUGCACACUGUCACCUUCAGGACCCGAGAAUCUUAAGCAAGGCACCCCAUCUCAUCAAAACCGCGCAAGACACCGGCGUCGCGUACUUCGCCGUUAACGGAGUUUCCGAACAAGACUGGCACUCCGUUAAGCAGUUGGCCGAAACAUACCCUUCCGUCAUUCCUUGCUUCGGUCUCCAUCCUUGGUUUGUUAAGGAACGGAGUCCCAAUUGGUUUCAAACGUUGAAGGAAUAUUUUGAUUCCACACCCUCUGCUGCAGUUGGAGAGAUUGGUGUGGACAAAGGAUCACACGGAAAGAAGAUUGAUUUUUCUGAGCAGAUUGAAGUAUUGAGGCAGCAGCUUGAACUUGCAAAAGAGUUAAACAAACCAGCAUCUGUUCAUUGUGUUCGUGCUUUUGGUGAUCUUCUUGAGCUAAUGAAGUUUUUGGGGCCUUUUCCUGCCGGUGUCAUUCUUCAUUCUUACCUAGGUUCUGCAGAGAUGGUUCAUGAAUUUUCCAAGCUUGGUGCUUAUUUUUCCUUCUCAGGAUUUCUUAUGUCACUAAAAGCAAGUAAAGCAAAGAAAAUGCUGAAGAUGGUCCCUCCUGAUAGGAUUUUGUUGGAGACAGAUGCACCUGAUGCACUACCAAUGUCAAACAUAGAUUCUCUUUAUUUUGUUGAAGGAGAUACUUCUCUCACCGAAGAGCUUCUUGCCCAAACAACAACUUCAUCAACUUCUGGUUCUUCCCUCGGUAAUUCAUCCCAUGUCUUGGCAGAUGCUUCGAUGUUGCCAAAGGAAACACUCAAUCAUCCCGCAAACAUUCAUAAUGUACUUGAUUAUGUUGCAUCUAUGCUAGAAAUUACGAAAGAAGAGCUUGCUGAAUUAAGUUACCAGAAUGCAGUCCGGUUAUUAUCCUAUGAAGGUUCGAAAGUACUUCAAAAGUAGACAAAACAAUUGCUUCUUGAAAGAGCUAGCUUGGCAAAGUUUACUUUGGGAAGUUCCAAAUAGAAUUUCGUCUAAGUACGAGCAGAUAGAUUACAGGAAGAGUUCGCUAACAUGUAUGAUAUAUGUGAGAUGGAAGGGUACACCAAAUGAACCAAUAGACGUACAAAAUAACAUGGCUUGCCAUAACUACACGAAUGCUAUUUUGGAGGAAAAACUCAUGAAGCGUUGCCUUUCCUUUCCUAAAAGAAGUGAUUGCCAACACAAGUGUUGUAUUCAACUCAAAAUAUAACUAGGUUCUCUAAUUAAAUGUAAUAUAAGGUAUAACCUUGAUCAUUCUCCAAGGACACAAAUGAUUAUUUCUAACUUAAUUAAGAGGCACUAGGCUAGGGGUUAUGUCCAUCAAUUGAAUUAAAACUAAAAAUCCAAAGGUUGAAGAAAAUUUAGAUCAAUCAAAACAUUAAGCUAGGUUGUCACUUGGAAUUCAAUAAUAAAAAAAUCAAACAUUAAGUAGAAAUGAACUUAAAAUCUAUAUCACAUUCCUUAAUGACUACCUGUGUUGUACUGGUAUUCAACAAGGUGGAGAAGAGAGUACCAGUGCUCUUAGGUUGGUCGCUAGCAAAGCAUUGAAGGUAAGCACCUAUGGAACGAUUCAUGACUUCCGUCUGACUGGAUUUCCAAGUGAUACGUUGUGGAGAACUCAGAGAAGUUCCUUGCAACCCUAAAAGCUCCCACCAAAACACACUAAUGAAGACCUUGUCACAGUCAGUGACGAUCAAUGAUUCAAGGAAUGCCAUUGAGGUGGGCAAUCUCAACGAAGAACCUUGAGGCCACUCUUGUCGUAGUGAAUGUAGUUGGUAACGCUAUGAGGUGAGCAUAGUGAAGAUGGCUACUAAAGUAGGGUAGGAUCGAGAAAGAGAAUAUGCAAAACUGUUGUCUCUACUCGGCCUAUAGCAUAUUUCAAAGGUAAUUAAAUUCUUGGAGUUUGAAAGCCCAUUUUUGUUGCUCUGGUGAUUGAAUUACUUGUGACAUAAGUUCCAUCAAAUUCUUUUGAUCUGUA